AUACGGAGGAUCCGAGCGUUAUCCGGAUUUAUUGGGUUUAAAGGGUGCGCAGGCGGCCAUUUAAGUCAGCGGUUAAAUCAUGGGGCUCAACCCCAUUCUGCCGUUGAUACUGGGUGGCUUGAUUGCGGUCGAGGUUGGCGGAAUUCGUUGUGUAGCGGUGAAAUGCAUAGAUAUGACGAAGAACACCGAUUGCGUAGGCAGCUGACCAGACCGCAAAUGACGCUCAUGCACGAAAGUGCGGGGAUCGAACAGGAUUAGAUACCCUGGUAGUCCGCACAGUAAACGAUGAAUACUUGUUUUCGGCGAUAUAAUGUCGGAGGCAAAGCGAAAGCGAUAAGUAUCCCACCUGGGGAGUACGCCGGCAACGGUGAAACUCAAAUGAAUUGACGGGG
rnacentral:rRNA from 1 species